AUUGAACGCUGGCGGCAGGCCUAACACAUGCAAGUCGAGCGGAUGAAGGGAGCUUUCUCCUGGAUUCAGCUGCGGACGGGUGAGUAAUGCCUAGGAAUCUGACUUAUCGUUGGGGAUAACGUCAGGAAACGGGCGCUAAUACCGCAUACGUCCUGAGGGUGAAAGGGGUGGAUCGUCGGAGCUAACGCGAUUAGAUGAGCCUAGGGCGGAUUAGCUAGUUGGUGGGGUUAAGGCCUACCAAGGCGACGAUCCGUAACUGGUCUGAGAGGAUGAUCAGCCACACUGGAACUGAGACACGGUCCAGACUCCUACGGGAGGCAGCAGUGGGGAAUAUUGGACAAUGGGCGAAAGCCUGAUCCAGCCAUGCCGCGUGUGUGAAGAAGGUCUUCGGAUUGUAAAGCUCUUUAAGUUGGGAGGAAGGGAAGUAAAUUAAUACCUUGCUGUUUUGACGUUACCAACAGAAUAAGCACCGGCUAACUUCGUG
rnacentral:rRNA from 1 species